rnacentral:rRNA from 1 species
UUCCGGAGAGGGAGCCUGAGAAACGGCUACCACAUNNAAGGAAGGCAGCAGGCGCGCAAAUUACCCAAUCCCGACACGGGGAGGUAGUGACAAUAAAUAACAACACAGGGCUCUUUUGGGUCUUGUUAUUGGAAUGAGUACGAUUUAAAUCUCCUAACGAGGAACAAUUGGAGGGCAAGUCUGGUGCCAGCAGCCGCGGUAAUUCCAGCUCCAAUAGCGUAUAUUAAAGUUGUUGCAGUUAAAAAGCUCGUAGUUGAAUUUCAGGCCUGGCUGGACGGUCCGCCCUUCGGGUGAGUACUGUCUGUGGUCGGGUCCUACCUUCUGGCGAAGCGUCAUGGCCUUAACCGGCCGUGGCGGGGAACCAGGACUUUUACUGUGAAAAAAUUAGAGUGUUCAAAGCAGGCAAUCGCUUGGAUACAUUAGCAUGGAAUAAUGGAAUAGGACAAUGGUUCUAUUUGUUGGUUUCUAGGACCGUUGUAAUGAUUAAUAGGGAUAGUUGGGGGCAUUAGUAUUCAAUUGUCAGAGGUGAAAUUCUUGGAUUUAUUGAAGACUAACUACUGCGAAAGCAUUUGCCAAGGAUGUUUUCAUU